GGAUUAAUAGGCUACUGAAGGCCCAAUUAGCCCAAAUUGUGACAGCUGGAGCAUGAGGCAGGCUUUCAGGGAGGGGCUUAAAAAGAAGACCUCUGGUGGGGAGGGAGAGAGAGAGAGUGUGCAGGAGCUCUCAUUCUGGAUCAUAAGGUUGGCUGGAGCCUGGGGAAGACUAACACCUACUAGAAUUCCCAGAGGAAAGGGGAGAGUUUGUUUUAUGUUGCUUCAUGCUUGUUUUGGCCUUUGAGUGCCCUACAAGAGAAGAACUAAAGUAUGCUGACCGUAAAUGGUUGUUCACUGCAGUGCUGUGAUUGUUGAGGGCAUUUCUGGAGGUUCCUGAUUCAUUAUAUAAAAAGAAAUGCAGAAACCACCUUGACGAGAGAGCUGUUCCCCAUUGCAUUUUACUAAGAUUCUACAAUAAGAUGAUACAAGACAGAAAGGAUUUCUUUACUGAAGUAUGUUUGACUAUCAUUUCUGCAGAAUACACCCUGACAACUUAUCACAAAAGUCCUUGAUAAUCACUUAUUUCUCAAUGACUUUGUUCAGAUCUUUCAAAAAGCAAAUAAAUCAAGGAACUGUAAACAGACAGUGCUUUAAUGUUGCAUUUUUUGUGUACCACAAACUCCCCUGGAGUUUUGGGUACAGAAAGAAAAGCACAAUUUCGGCUGUUCAUUUUCAAUGCUUCUGAGAGUUUGCUUUAAGAAUUGUGUAGUCCUUUCAAUUUUCUCAUCCUUGGAUACAGCCAGUAAUUUAUCCAAGGGGACUCUGUAUCUUAUUUCUGAAAGAACAAUAGAUAGUGAAAUGCUGUUAUAGGAAACUACUUAGAAAUAAAUCUUUUUAUGAGUGACCUUCAGUAAGCAGAGGCAAUCUUAAUAUAUUGAAAAUGUAUAGAAGAGGGAGCCACUAUUAUUGACUGCUGUUCAUUGCAUACAGCUUUAAUUCUAGAAAAAUUAAAGUCCAGCUUCCACCUGUGGAA